UGGGACGAAGAGAAGUACUGGACAUGAUGUUGGUCAAGAGUUGGCUCCUAUCAUUUUAGUUCCAAAUCAAACUGCCAUGAUAAUUUGUUUUGGCAAUAUAUUCUUGCCAAGAGCAAUUGUGGUGUCGCUGCCAAUAGGUGCCACAAGUAUCAGCAUUAUCUGGGAAGAGGAAGCCAUGACAAGGUGCAGCAGUUCAUGGCCAUAACCGGUGCAAGGUAUAAUUAUCUUUAAUAUUUGGACUGGGAUUCAGUGCUGACUUGUUAGUUUUGUUUAUUAUAGAUCUUUGCUUCUCUACAUUAAUUAUAGCAACUUCUUAAGUGGUGAUGCUGAUGUCGGUAGUUAGUUGGGAGUAACUAGCAAAGAAAUUUGCAAUACAAUACAGUAAUAUCAAUGUUGAACUUAUUGAAUCUAUCGUUUGGGCUCAUUAAGAAACACUAAAAUUUACCUAGCUAGCACCCUUCAUGUUGAUUUGUCGUCCGCAGCCAUCCGAUCGUAUUUGUGAGCAUCCUAGAUCAUCUAGUCACAUCAGACUGGACUAUUAUGGCGCAACCCAUCCACCUCAGCCAGACCACCCAUCAGUGGGCUGCUUCUCUGAAGAUUGACCUGAGAGUUUUCUUAUGAGCCGGGCCGAUUGCCGAUGGGUUGUUGGUCAGCCAGCAUGUUUUCCUGCCGAUCGGCCCUCUUGGAUGACUGAAUGGCGCAGGCCCAGCUUAAUUCUGUUCGCCCCCUUCUCUGCCCUUCACUGCGAAGUAACCGGGAGUAAUUAGGCGGAAGCCAGGCCGCCUUCCUUCCAUUAUUGUUGCUCGAACAUAGGCACGUUACUCUGCAUGUAGCCGCCUUAUUUGCUACUCCUCAAUAUUUUUUUUGCUAUAUUCCUCUUUAUAUGGUGUGUGCUCCAUCCCUCCCGGUUGCCCAUAUGUAAUCUCGCCUCAAUAUGUCUUCCAGUCUUAUCAAUUG